rnacentral:rRNA from 1 species
AAUACAUAUCAUAGAGAUAUAAGUAAUUCAAAGGGGUUAUUAAGGAAAACUACAGCAAAUUUAUACAAAAGGAGGUAUAACACCAAAAGCUUCAGCCUUCAUAAUUUCAAUUAGGAGGUCCAAUUUGAAAAUGUAAGCGAUCCUAAGGUAAACCUUUAUAAAAAGACUUCCUGAAGUAAAACAUUUUAUUAAGGAAAGGAAAGGAAAUCAACCGAGACUCCGAGAGUAAUGGUGAGUGAAAUCGGAUUAGCCUAAAAUUCUUUAAUAAUUGAAUAACUUAAAUCCUUCCUAAGUUUUAAGCAAUCCUUAAAAAGUUAGGUUGAGAAAUCUAAGUAGGAAAGAUUAAUUAGUAAACAUAAAAUUUAAUCAACUAAAUAAUAUGUACCAUAGAAGGUCAAACACAAAAGUCCUGUAGAUUAUUAAAGAAUAUAUAAUACCUCUCCUUAAAAUUUCUUCUAAAAAUUAGAAAUAAGAGGAGGUGGUGUAAAAUAAAAAGUACGAUGAGAGAUAACUUGUCGGAACAAAGGGGAACCAUCCUCUAAGGCUAAGUAUUAUAAAUUUAGCGAUAGUGAAAAAGUACUGUAAAGGAAAAGUUUGAAAAGCGAGUGGUAUACAAAAAGUGAUUUAUACCUCUGAAAUUCAUUUCAGAAGGUUAUAAUGAAUUGGUGAAAUAGAUCUUGAAUUAGUAACUCUAUAAGCAGUCGAAAUUCAACUUAAAAACAUACAAGGUAAAUGAAUGACGGCGUACCUUUUGCAUAAUGGGUCAGCAAGUUAAUAGGAGUAGCAAGGUUAAAAGCCUUAGCGAAAGCGACUGGACUAUAUUAUCUUCUUAAAUUAAUUCUGAAGAUAAGUCAAAUAGUGAUGGAUAAGUUGCUUCUAUUAGACCCGAAGCCAGGUGAUCUUACCAAGACCAGAUUAUAAUGGAUCGAACGGGUGAAUGUUGCAUAAUUCUCCGAUGAGUUUUGGUAAGCGGUGAAAUGCCAAUCUGACCUGGUGAUAGCUGGUUUUCUACCGAAACAUAUUUAAGUAUGACGUCUACACAAAAUUUAUGGAGGUACAGCAAGGCAAUUCCCAACAAGUAUAUAGCCAACUUAAUUUAAGUGGGAUUUUUAUAUGCGUUUAGGUUGCGGGGAUCUCGAAAAUCUUACCUUUGGAAGCGAAUCUCGGAAUUACAUAAAUUGAUGGUAGAUAUUCAGACUACUCAUGCUAAGUUGGGUAGUCAAGACGGAAACAGCCGAGAACACGGAUCAAGGUCCCAAAUGAUUGUUAAGUGAAAUUAAGGAUGUAACAUAAUCGAAUACAGCUGUGAAGUGAGCCUGGCAGUCGCUACUUUUAAUGAACGUAUGUAACAACGCAUCAGCAGUACAGAUCGUAGCGCCGAAAAUUUAACGGGUCUUAAACAAUCAACCGAUAUCGUGUUGGUUAAGAAUAAAUUUUUAAUCUUAAAAUUAAAUUUUUCUUAAUCUAGGUAGUAGAACAUUCAGUCUAGCCAAUAAUAAAAUAGUGUUUCAUUAUUUUUAGGAAACUGAAGAGAGAAUGCUGACAUGAGUAACGUAAAAAGAAGUUAUAAUACUUCUCGCCGAAUACGAAAGGGUUGCAAAUUGGAAAGGUUAAUCCGUUUUGUGUGAAUGCGGCCUCUAAGGACCAAAACCAAAGUUUUGGCUGAUGAGUACAAAAUAGAAACCCUAAUAAAUUAAUUUAUAGGGCAGGAAAAUAAUAUUUUUCUCGUAAAUUCAAUUACGAUGAUAUAAACUACCGUACCCUAAACCGACACAGGUUCGUAGGUAGAGUAUACUAAGGCGUAGAGCUAAAAGUUGUUAAGGAACUCGGCAAGUUCACCUCAUAAGUUAGACGAUAAGAGGUACCAUCUAUGAUUUAUAUUUUUAAGAUUUUGACUUUCUCUCUUUUCCCUUUUUUGGUAAAGAAUAAAUUAAAAAUUCAAAUUAAUAGAUAGAUAGAUGGUGGCACAGAAUCGGAGGCCCCGACUGUUUACUAAAAACACAACACAGUGCAAUCAUUAAUGUGGUAGUAUACUGUGUGAAAUUUGCCCAAUGCCAUUAAUAUAAAAGCGGUCAUGGGAAACUGUGACUAAUUGAAAAUCUGGUUAAUAGCGGUCUUAAUCAUGAGGAUCCUAAGGUAGCAAAAUAAAUUGGCCAUUAAAUGUGGUCCGGUAUCAAUAAUGUAACGAUGGCCUCACUGUCUCUACAACUUGCUCAGUGAAAUUGAAUUACGCGUGCAGAUGCGCGUUACCUCCAGUGGGACGGGAAGACCCUAUGCAGCUUUACUGUAGUUAGUUAUCACAUGAAUCUAGAACAACUUUAAUUAAUAGUGAAUAGGCAAGUCGAAAGACAUAUAGUGGAAACCUUAUAAUCUAAGUUGGGUUUGUGUUUACCUUAUACACCAUUAUUUAAUUCUAUUUUUUUAAUUUUAGAAUAAUAGAAGAAUUUUGGAUUUAUCAAAGGGAGAGUUGACUAAUUGGCAGUUUGACUGGGGCGGUCGUCUUUAAUAGAGUAGCAAAGUACAUCCAAAUAUUUCAUUUUUAUAAAAAUAUCUUAUGUUUUCUUAUUCUUAAUAAUGAAAAUAAGAUAUUAAAACAAAUAACAGAAAGUAACAAAAUUUAAUUACAAAAAAACACUUUGUCUUUACUUUCUCUUUCAAUUUACCUUUAAAGGUAAAAAGGCAGGCUUAAGAAAGAAUAAGAUAAAGUCAUUUAUAUAAAAAAUUUUUAUAAGGUAUAGCUAGAAAUUGAAUGGAGAUCAAUCAACCAGUGAAGGGUUGUGCAGAGUUCAAUGACGGAAAGCAUGCUUAACUGAAAGACUUAAAAGUCGCACAGAUACGUAAGUAGGGCAUAGUGACCCCUCGCUAUAGAAUGGAAUAGACGGGGAUCAAUUGAUAAAAGUUACGCUAGGGAUAACAGGCUGAUAGCCGACGAGAGUACACAUUGUCUCGGCUGAUUGGCACCUCGAUGUCGACUCAUCCUAUCCUCCGGGGGAAGAAGCUUGGAAGGGUUCGGCUGUUCGCCGAUUAAAAGGGUACGUGAGUUGGGUUUAAUAAUUGUUAAUACGACGUGAGUCAGUAUGGUCCCUAUCUUCUGGAGGAACAAGUAGUAAAAAGGGGCAGACCUUCUAGUACGAAAGGACCAAUAGGCUGUGUUUCUCUAGUGCACCAAUUGUUUGUAUUAUUUGUAAGGGACUUAUAUUAUCUUAAAAGAGGUAUAGGGAAAAUCCUUUUUAACUUUCUUGCAAAAAGUUUUUACUCCUAAACAAUGAGAAAAAGGUAACAAAUAGGAAAGCAUAGUUGGGUAGCCACAAACAUAAUAGAUAAGUGCUGAAUGUCUCUCAAGCAAGAAUCUAACCCCUAGAUACUAAUAAAAUGGAUCUCUUCUUAAAAAAAAUUUUUAAUAAUAGAGUCUAAAACCAUUAAUUAAGAAAUAGAACAUUUCUAGAUAGGCUGCAAAUGUACGUACUGCAAAGUAUUU